rnacentral:rRNA from 1 species
UACGGGGGGGGCAAGCGUUGUUCGGAAUUACUGGGCGUAAAGGGCUCGUAGGCGGCCAACUAAGUCGGAUGUGAAAUCCCUCGGCUUAACCGGGGAACUGCGUCCGAUACUGGAUGGCUUGAGUUCGGGAGAGGGAUGCGGAAUUCCAGGUGUAGCGGUGAAAUGCGUAGAUAUCUGGAGGAACACCGGUGGCGAAGGCGGCAUCCUGGACCAACACUGACACUGAGGAGCGAAAGCCAGGGGAGCAAACGGG